ensembl:lincRNA
CCCCGAGCUUGCUCAUCCAUGGAUGUGUUCAGAGGAGCGAGAGGCUUGGAGGAAGAGCACCGGCUGCAGCUUGGGUUAGGCCUCUCUGUGGCUGCAGAUGGUGGGGAAGACAGCGCAAACCUGUGCUUCUCCACGAAAGACAAGUCUGACGGUUGAACGUUCUCUCCUCAGGUCUGGGGCUCACUCCAUGAAGGAAGAUGACAGCCUGGGAGACGAGCCACCUCUGUGAUGAACACACGCAGGAACUGUGAGGGGCGGCUUUCCGCGCAGCGUUUGUGGUGAUUUAUGGGAGUCAGGGGCUGCCGGAGAGGGAUGUGGAUGUUAUCAGCUUGGUGGAUUAAAUGCCCAUUUACAUUGUUAUUGACAUAUAAAUUAUCCGUGCCAAGGAGGCAGUGAAGGAAAGCCUUUCUGGGGCAGUGAUGUGGCCUGUGCCCCAGGCUAUGGACUCAUCUUUGCCCAAACCUGUCCUCUGGGCUCUCGGGAAGGGCGUCUCAGAACUGAAGUGAAACCCAGCGGCCCAGCUCUCACGAUGCCGGCAGCAGCCACCCUCAUUGCUAAGGCAGCGAUGGCGCGGGAGCUUCGCGGGGGGAUCCUAGGAAGUCGGGAAGGCCUUUGAACAGGUGGCGCUGGGUUCCUGGGCUGGCAGGAGCUGUGCCUGGCGGGGUGCAUGCAUGACUUUUCGCCUGGGUUAUUUUGUUCCUCUGUGGAUCUGGAAGCAUCACUGAAGGAGAGAGGGGGAUUUUCUUCCUGGGAGAUGGAAUCAGUUUCUGAGUUCAGCCAACAGCAGAAGAGAAAGCCGGUUACCCAUGGACUGGAAGAUCAAAAGAGGAAUGAAGAGGACAAAGCCUCCCUUUUCAGCGAAGCCCAGCAGACCAGAAAGGCUUUGGAAUCAUGAAAUGCAAAUACUGGCUGCUUUUGAACCGCAUUGAAGGCGGAGCUGCUGAAUUAAAUUAACAAGGCCCAUAAAUACAGAGGUUAAAAAAAUGGAAGGCCAAGUGUUCAGAGGCUUUUUGUCCAGAGGGAAAAUAAUCACAGGACAAUGGUCUAUUUUGUUUGGAUUACAGGCUGGGCUGUUAUCACAUUAGCUGAAACCUGGCAAUAUUUAUGUUGAAAACGGCUGUUUGAGGAGCUCUGUUGCCCCAA